rnacentral:rRNA from 1 species
GCAUAUCAAUAAGCGGAGGAAAAGAAACUAACAAGGAUUCCCCUAGUAACGGCGAGUGAAGAGGGAAAAGCCCAAAUUUGUAAUCUGGCUCUUUUAUAAGGGUCCGAGUUGUAAUUUUGAGAACUGUUUUCUGUGCUGGACCAUGUACAAGUCUGUUGAAAAACAGCAUCAUUGAGGGUGAUAAUCCCGUAUGUGAUAUGGACUACCAGGGCAAUAUGAUACAGUCUCUAAGAGUCGAGUUGUUUGGGAAUGCAGCUCAAAGUGGGUGGUAAAUUCCAUCUAAGGCUAAAUAUAGGUGAGAGACCGAUAGCAAACAAGUACCGUGAGGGAAAGAUGAAAGGAACUUUGGAAAGAGAGUUAACAGUACGUGAAAUUGUUAAAAGGGAAACAUUUGAAGUUAGACUUGUUAUUGUUGGUUCAGCUUCUUUAUUGAGGUGUAUUCUGAUGAUUAACAGACCAGCAUCAAUUUUUGGGUGUUGGAUAAGGGUUUUGGGAAUGUGGCAGCUUCGGUUGUGUUAUAGACCAUUACUUUGAUACAAUGCUUAGGAUUGAGGAACGCAGUAAGCUUUGUUGCAGAUUUUUUCGGAAGUCUCCUUACUACGGAUGUUGGUGCAAUAGCUUUAAAUGACCCGUCUUGAAACACGGACC